rnacentral:rRNA from 1 species
UAAGGAAUAUUGGGCAAUGGACGCAAGUCUGACCCAGCCAUGCCGCGUGGAGGAUGAAGGUCCUCUGGAUUGUAAACUUCUUUUAUCUGGGAAGAAACCCAUAUUUUCUAGUAUGGUUGACGGUACCAGACGAAUAAGCACCGGCUAACUCCGUGCCAGCAGCCGCGGUAAUACGGAGGGUGCAAGCGUUAUCCGGAUUCACUGGGUUUAAAGGGUGCGUAGGUGGAUUGGUAAGUCCGUGGUGAAAUCCCCGAGCUUAACUUGGGAACUGCCAUGGAUACUAUUAAUCUUGAAUGUCGUGGAGAUGAGCGGAAUAUGUCAUGUAGCGGUGAAAUGCUUAGAUAUGACAUAGAACACCAAUUGCGAAGGCAGCUCGUUACGCGAAUAUUGACACUGAUGCACGAAAGCGUGGGGAUCAAA